rnacentral:snoRNA from 1 species
AAGACUACGCUUUCAGGCAUCGUCUGUAGUUGGUUACUGGAGUUUCUCUGACUGGGUAGACCACCUGAAGCCACGCGGAGGAGAUGCAGCUUCUCUCCCGAGCGUGGAGCAGCUCUUGGUGUCACCUUUUCAGUGGCCACUGGCCUUUGAUGAUCAUUUCAUCUCUUCCUUGGGGAGAGUAAGAGGGAGGGAAUGCUGUCUGAGUGGC